GAUGUUUUCAUUAAUCAAGAACGAAAGUUAGGGGAUCGAAGACGAUCAGAUACCGUCGUAGUCUUAACCAUAAACGAUGCCGACCAGCGAUUAGGAGACGUUGAAUACAAAACACCACCAUUGGUGCGGUCGUCCUUGGCAUUUGGUCGUGGCGCAAGUCACGGCCAGGUGCGGGGACGGUUUAGCCUGAUGGAUUUCGGUGAAUGAC
rnacentral:rRNA from 1 species